rnacentral:ncRNA from 2 species
ACCUUAUUAAGAGCGGCGGAGUGAAUGGGCACGAUGAAACCCGGCAACCUAUUGUGGUGCCAAAUCCCACAGAGAGAUCUGGAAGAUGAGGU